rnacentral:rRNA from 1 species
CCUACGGGUGGCAGCAGUGGGGGAUAUUGCACAAUGGGGGAAACCCUGAUGCAGCGACGCCGCGUGGGCGAAGAAGUAUUUCGGUAUGUUAAGCCCUAUCAGCAGGGGAGCAAAAAUGACGGUACCUGCGUAAGAAGCACCGGCUAAAUACGUUCCAGCAGCCGAGGUAAUACGUAUGGUGCAAGCGUUAUCCGGAUUUACUGGGUGUAAAGGGAGCGCAGGCGGCACGGCAAGCCUGAUGUGAAAGCCCGCGGCCCAACCGCGGGACUGCAGUGGGAACUAGCGGGCUGGAGUGCGGGAGAGGUAGGCGGAAUUCGUAGUGUAGCGGUGAAAUGCAUAGAUAUUAGGCGGAACACCAGUGGCGAAGGCGGCCUACUGGACGGUGACUGACGCUGAGGCUCGAAAGCGUGGGGAGCGAACAGGAUUAGAUACCCUUGUAGUC